rnacentral:rRNA from 1 species
CAAAGUUAUUCGCCAGAGUACUAUAGGCAACAGCUNUAAAACUCAAAGGACUUGGCGGUGCUUUAUACCCCUCUAGAGGAGCCUGUUCUAUAAUCGAUAAACCCCGAUAAACCUCACCACUCCUUGCUAAUUCAACCUAUAUACCGCCAUCUUCAGCAAACCCUACUAAGGCCCUAAAGUAAGCCCCAAACNAUAGCCGUAUAAA